CAUUUCUCUGCCUUUCCUCUUUCCUCGCUCGCAUACCUCGGGUUCCAUCGUCUGCCGUUCUGUUUUCUGUCUUCAUCUUUCUUCGUUGGUUGGGUUCGAAAUAUUUUUCCGCUCAUUCGAGCGGUAUUUACAAAGAUUUGUACCUAUAUUGGAUUCGAUUGGGUUUUGGUUGGAACCGAUCUAAUCCGGCAUUUGCAGGUCAGUUUUGCUCUGACGACGAGCCUGUGGCUCAUUCCCUUGAGAGCGACAAGCCCGAAACGGGGAGUACUGAGAGCAUUAGAGGAGGAGGAGGAGGAGAAGACGAAGAGGAAGAGCCCGUGGACGAGCCCGAUGAUCCCAUGGAGGAAGACGCAGUCAACUCCGCCGCCGUCUUCUGCAUCCGGCUCAAGCAGCCCAGGUCCAAUUUGCAGCACAAGAUGAGCGUCCCCGAGCUUUGUCGCAAUUUUAGAUAUGAAGAGGAUUUGUGAAGUUGCUGUGAUUUCAUGGUAAGUACUCAUGAUCAGUUUUUGGAUUUGAUUUGAAGGAAUUUCUAGGGUUCAUUGAAACGGUGGUCUUCAUUUUUUGGGGCUAUUGUGUGUGGGCUUCCAAGCUGUUUGUGCUUGAGGAUGUUGGAAGAGCCCUCUUCCGAGCACAUGUCGAGAGUCAACUCAAGAAUUUGGGGAAUUUGCUUGGAUUUAUUUUUACGUUAGGCUGGUGAAAGGAUUUCGCUCUUAUCAACUCAAGAUUAUGAUUACACAAACAAAAUGAUGCAGCAUUGGUCGCGUAUUUCUUCCUGAUGAGAUGGGUUGGAAGGAUCGAGCUGCCAACCACUGUUGAGUCGUCAAAAGCACUACAUUUUUGAAGUACAUCGGUAAAAUAGGAUCAACAACUCUUUAUAUGUAUAUUGGAGUUAGUGAACAACUAGUAUAUAUUUUAUGUAAAUACUUUGUACAUGUUUUAGGUUUAUAGUUUUUACAUAUUUAUGCACAAUGCUUUUAGUCCCUUAUUCUAACACUUGCUUACAGUGCUUAUAAUCCAUUUGACAUUAUUUGGAGCUCAUGGUUUUAUAGAAAGGAUAUAUAUGCUGACAUGAAUGCAUGC
rnacentral:sRNA from 1 species